AAGCGAUGGACUACCCCAGCUAAUUGAAACAAUAUUCGAAAAUAUUACCUCAACUAACCAAGAUAGCCAUCGUUACACCCUUAGCUUAGCUCAGUCACUCAGGUGUGUGUUCGUCUUGUCCUAACCUUAGAAUGAACUCUGAAAAUUGGAAUGGAAGCAAACAAAACAUAGUUUUUAACUAAUCAUGUUUAUUGUUCAUAAAGAUAUAAUAAAUAAAAUGACUUAGUAAAUUGCAUUAACAAAUGUAUUUAAAUUCUUGCCAAAAACUAACAAUUCUGGAUUAUACUUAUGGCUUUUGGUAGCUGAUGGUAUCUUCUUGAUGUCGUAUGGUACUGCUGUUGUAGACUUCUCGUAGGCCUGGGCGGAUCUUCGGCGCAAGGCCCCUGCAGCUAGAGGUGGUGGUUGUGCAGUCUGGAUGUCAUUGUCUUUGCCUUCAAGUGUGCAUCACCGGUGAUGUGAGGCUUAGGUUCCCGAAGAGGGAAAGGUUGA